AUUGAACGCUGGCGGCAUGCCUUACACAUGCAAGUCGAACGGCAGCACGGGAGCAAUCCUGGUGGCGAGUGGCGAACGGGUGAGUAAUAUAUCGGAACGUGCCCAGUCGUGGGGGAUAACGCAGCGAAAGCUGUGCUAAUACCGCAUACGAUCUCUGGAUGAAAGCGGGGGACCGUAAGGCCUCGCGCGAUUGGAGUGGCCGAUAUCAGAUUAGCUAGUUGGCGGGGUAAAGGCCCACCAAGGCGACGAUCUGUAGCUGGUCUGAGAGGACGACCAGCCACACUGGAACUGAGACACGGUCCAGACUCCUACGGGAGGCAGCAGUGGGGAAUUUUGGACAAUGGGCGCAAGCCUGAUCCAGCAAUGCCGCGUGCAGGAUGAAGGCCUUCGGGUUGUAAACUGCUUUUGUACGGAACGAAACGGCGAGCUCUAAUAAAGUUUGCUAAUGACGGUACCGUAAGAAUAAGCACCGGCUAACUACGUGCCAGCAGCCGCCGCCG
rnacentral:rRNA from 1 species